rnacentral:rRNA from 1 species
GGGGGAAUAUUGGGCAACGGGCGCAAGCCUGACCCAGCAACGCCGCGUGAAGGAAGAAGGCUUUCGGGUUGUAAACUUCUUUUCUCAGGGACGAAGCAAGUGACGGUACCUGAGGAAUAAGCCACGGCUAACUACGUGCCAGCAGCCGCGGUAAUACGUAGGUGGCAAGCGUUAUCCGGAUUUACUGGGUGUAAAGGGCGUGUAGGCGGGACUGCAAGUCAGAUGUGAAAACCAUGGGCUCAACCUGUGGCCUGCAUUUGAAACUGUAGUUCUUGAGUACUGGAGAGGCAGACGGAAUUCCUAGUGUAGCGGUGAAAUGCGUAGAUAUUAGGAGGAACACCAGUGGCGAAGGCGGUCUGCUGGACAGCAACUGACGCUGAGGCGCGAAAGCGUGGGGAGCAAACAGGAUUAGAUACCC